ensembl:snRNA U6 U6 spliceosomal RNA
CUGCUCGCUUUGGCAGCACAUAUACUAAAAUCAUAAUGAUGCGGAGAAGAUUAGCGUGGCCCCUGCGCAAUAAUGACACGCAAAUUCGCGAAGGUUCCAUAGAUUUU